CUACAGGCUGCUCCAGUGAGGAAUAUUGCACAAUGGGGGGAACCCUGAUGCAGCAACGUCGCGUGGAGGAUGACGCAUUUCGGUGUGUAAACUCCUUUUAUAUGUCAAGAAAAUGACGGUAGCAUAUGAAUAAGCACCGGCUAACUCCGUGCCAGCAGCCGCGGUAAUACGGAGGGUGCAAGCGUUACUCGGAAUCACUGGGCGUAAAGGACGCGUAGGCGGGUUGGAAAGUCAGGUGUGAAAUCCUACAGCUUAACUGUAGAACUGCGCUUGAAACUUCUAAUCUAGAGUAUGGGAGGGGGAGAUGGAAUUAGUGGUGUAGGGGUAAAAUCCGUAGAUACCACUAGGAAUACCUAAAGCGAAGGCGAUCUCCUGGAACAUUACUGACGCUAAGGCGUGAAAGCGUGGGGAGCAAACAGGAUUAGAUACCCGUGUAGUC
rnacentral:rRNA from 1 species